GGAUUGACUUUAGGGAAGCAUAUACUUUUUUCAAAAAUCAUUAGGCCUCAGCCCUUGGCUCAAAAAGGGUCACCCCAGUUAGGAUACUCAUUAUUAUAAUGUUUUGUGUGCUUGUGGUGUUUGUUUGGAUCAAAGGCAAGUUUAUCCGCUAUGCUCCUAUGGAUGAAUUUGUCUAGGACUCAAACAAUUUUAUAUGGUUAUUUUCUGUCAAAUAUUUUGCAUUACUUAUCACAUACGAAAACUAACACAUCUGCCUUUGAGUUGU
rnacentral:lncRNA from 1 species